rnacentral:rRNA from 1 species
UACGAAGGGGGCUAGCGUUGUUCGGAAUUACUGGGCGUAAAGCGCACGUAGGCGGAUAUUUAAGUCGGGGGUGAAAUCCCGGGGCUCAACCCCGGAACUGCCUUCGAUACUGGGUAUCUUGAGUUCGGAAGAGGUGAGUGGAAGUUGCGAGUGUAGAGGUGAAAUUCGUAGAUAUUCGCAGGAACACCAGUGGCGAAGGCGGCUCACUGGUCCGAUACUGACGCUGAGGUGGCGAAAGCGGUGGGGAGCAAACAGGG